CUACUCUUGACAUCCAGAGAACUUAGCAGAGAUGCUUUGGUGCCUUCGGGAACUCUGAGACAGGUGCUGCAUGGCUGUCGUCAGCUCGUGUUGUGAAAUGUUGGGUUAAGUCCCGCAACGAGCGCAACCCUUAUCCUUUGUUGCCAGCGGUUCGGCCGGGAACUCAAAGGAGACUGCCAGUGAUAAACUGGAGGAAGGUGGGGAUGACGUCAAGUCAUCAUGGCCCUUACGAGUAGGGCUACACACGUGCUACAAUGGCGCAUACAAAGAGAAGCGACCUCGCGAGAGCAAGCGGACCUCAUAAAGUGCGUCGUAGUCCGGAUUGGAGUCUGCAACUCGACUCCAUGAAGUCGGAAUCGCUAGUAAUCGUAGAUCAGAAUGCUACGGUGAAUACGUUCCC
rnacentral:rRNA from 1 species